rnacentral:lncRNA from 8 species
AUGGUAUGCCCUCUGAGGACCCCCAAGACCAACUGGAUGAGGCCAUUAACGAGGCAAAAAGGCUGGCUGAGGAGCUCAACCCAGAACGGGAAAAUAAGAAGAAAAAGACAAAACAAGGGAUUAGGUUCAGAUGGAGACAAAGGGAUGAGAGAGGACAGAUUGUUCCUCAAACCAGGAAGGCAACUACAUCCACUUCUGUUGGUAAGCUUCCUCCCGUCUAGGUGUUUCAUUUUAUUGGUCCCUGAGCUGACUUUUUCCUUUCAAACAUACUGUAUCACAGCAUAUCAAACGUUUGUCACCGAGGAGGAAGAAUCAGGUAUUGAUGAGCGAUUGAAUAUAUUAAUCUAUACAAUUCCUUGUUAUUCAGUGGCCUUGUAAUUCAUUUAGUGUGUUUUUAUUCAGUAGUUGAAACAAUAACAAAGCACACUCUCCUCCCCUGUUUUGGUUUUUUUAUUUUUUUAUUUAUUUAUUUAUUUCACCUUUAUUUAACCAGGUAGGCAAGUUGAGAACAAGUUCUCAUUUACAAUUGCGACCUGGCCAAGAUAAAGCAAAGCAGUUCGACAACAUACAAAAACACAGAGUUACACAUGGAGUAAAACAACAUACAAUCAAUGAUGCAGUAGAAAAAAAUAAGACUAUAUACAAUGUGAGCAAAUGAGGUGAGAUAAGGGAAGUAAAGGCAAAAAAGGCCAUGGUGGCAAAGUAAAUAAAGUAUAGCAAGUAAAACACUGGAAUGGUAGAUUUGUAGUUUGAAGAAAGUUCAAAGUUAAAAUAUAAAUAAUAUGGUGCAAAGGAGCAAAAUAAAUAAAAUAAAUAAAUACAGUAGGGGAAGAGGUAGUAGUUUGGGCUAAAUUAUAGAUGGGCUAUGUACAGGUGCAGUGAUCUGGGAGCUGCUCUGAUAGCUGGUGCUUAAAGCUAGUGAGGGAGAUAAGUGUUUCCAGUUUCAGAGAUUUUUGUAGUUCGUUCCAGUCAUUGGCAGCAGAGAACUGGAAGGAGAGAGACCAAAGGAGGAGUUGGCUUUAGGGGUGACCAGAGAGAUAUACCUGCUGGAGCGCGUGCUACAGUUAAAAGCUGAGUGAUGGGGUUGGCGAAAUGUAACCACUUUCAAUUUAUUGACAGAGUUAUGGAUGCAAUAACUUACCAUCAAUGUAAUUAAAAUAAUAGUUUUAACCAUGUUUUAGGGCUAUACAGUGUUUUUUUUUUACAUUUACUUUGUUUGCAAACAUUGACUAAAACAAGCUUCUAGUUUGGGUUCUGAUGGGUUACGACAGUUGAAUUAAACUAAUGAGGCAUUAAUAAGUUAUAAUCUUCUAGAAUCAAUGGGUAUAUAUCAUUAAUAUAAAUCCAAAAAUGGCUUUAUCAACUUCUGAAAGCCCCUUUAAGUCUAAUCCUUUCCUUUUUUGCAGAUCUUAUUUUAGACACAAGGACCAGUGGAUUGGAAUCUGCUCCAGUUUUAAACAUUGAUGAAGAAAUAGUUAUGUUUAAAUUGUUUUACUUUCAAAAUUGGGGUCAUCUUGGUGUUACUGAAUUAUACUGCACUACAUCUUUAUUUUGACAGUGAUGCAACAUUUUUAAAUGUGGCUCAAGUCUCCAGAAUUUCAGAUUUGAGAUCAAAUGUUUGAUAUGAGGUUACAGUACAGAAUGUCACCUUUUAUUUCAGGGUAUUUUCAGACUUUUCUGAUUUACCGUUUCGAAAUGAAAACACUUUAUGUCUAGUUGCAAGUUUUAUUAGUCGUAUGUACAGGACACUGAUGGUAACACCAUCCAACGAAAUGCUUACUUGUAGGUAGCUUCUCGACAAAGCAAUUCAAAAUGCUGGAGUAUAGAGACAAAUUCAACAUUUUAGCAUCACUGUCCAAAUACUUCUGUAGGGGAGGGCAAUAACAACAUCCUGGCAGAGCUUUUUCCUGCACAUUUCCUUUAAUAUGAAGCAAUCUGCCAUUCCACAUUAUGGAAUUAAUCUUAGUUGAAUUCACUCAAAUCCACUAUUGGAAUGUUUACAUAGUGUCUUUCCUUUAGCAACCACUGUCUGUAAUUGUGGAAGCUGGAAGCAUUUGCCUUUGAGGAGAGUUUACUCUGUCGUCAAAAUACACUGAGUGUACAAAAUAUUCCUAGUAUUGAGUUGCACUCCCUUUUGCCCUCAGAACAGCCUCAAUUCGUCAGGGCAUGGACUCUACAAGGUGUCGAAAGCGUUCCACAGGGAUGCUGGCCCAUGUUGACUCAAAUGCUUCCCACAGUUGUAUCAAGUUGGCUGGAUGUCCUUUGGGUGGUGGACCAUUCUUGAUACACACGGGUAAAUGUGGAUCGUGAAAAACCCAGCAGCGUUGCAGUUCUUGACACAAACCUUUGGACCUGGCACCUACUACCUAGCACCUGGCACCCUUUCAAAGGCACUUAAUUAUUUUGUCUUGCCCAGUCACCCUCUGAAUGGCACACACACACAAUCCAUGUCUCAAUUGUCUCGAGGCUUAAACAUCCUCCUUUAAUCUGUCUCCUCCUCUUUAUCGACACUGAAGUGGAUUUAGCAGGUGACAUCAAUAAGGGAUCAUAGCUUUCACCUGGUCAGUUUGUCAGGGAAAUGUUUUGUACACUCAGUGUGUUUUUGCUGUUUUAAGAACAUUCAGAAUUUCUAUUCGACGAUGGGAUCAAGUUCUAUUGUUUGAUAUUCCAAUUUAGACUUUACUCAAUAUUUUGGUCUGCCCUGUAAUUGAAUUUACUGUAGAAUCAAAGCUGAGGUUUUUGGCUUGUCACACCAUAGAUUGUGCAGAGAUAUAUUUGCUGUCACCUACUUACAGCGCUAUGUGCGUUUUAAUAGAUUAAUUAUAUAAUAUUCUUAAUUUAAUCCUUUUCCCAUUUUUGUGUUUUCAAAAAAAGCAAUACUUCAUCGAGAAAUUAACAUCCUCCUAGCUGAUUUAGAAGACCCCGAGUGUUCAAAUCCUGUUGUGCCUGGUGCAUCACACAGUUGGAGUGUGAGGAAGGAACUCUCACAGGAUAGGUGGAGGGAGUCCAGGCCUGAGAUUGUAGAUUCUCUGCUGGCUGCAGAGCAUGCUUCUCAGAAGAUCUGUCAGUCAUGCAAUGUGAAAAGGGCUAUUCUGCCAUGUAGAGACUGUCUGCCGAAACAGCUUUAUUGCGAAGACUGCGAUGUCUCUACACAUGCAAAGUUCCCCUGCACAACAGACAGUCCAUGAUGGAGGGGUUCUACACACCCCUUCCUCCAACCACCUCCAUAUCUCUCCACACUGAUGGAGGGGUUCUACACGCCCCUUCCUCCAACUACAGCCAUAUCUCUCCACACUGAUGGAGGGGUUCUACACGCCCCUUCCUCCAACCACCUCCAUAUCUCUCCACACUGAUGGAGGGGUUCUACACACCCCUUCCUCCAACUACAGCCAUAUCUCUCCACACUGAUGGAGGGGUUCUACACGCCCCUUCCUCCAACUACAGCCAUAUCUCUCCACACUGAUGGAGGGGUUCUACACGCCCCUUCCUCCAACCACCUCCAUAUCUCUCCACACUGAUGGAGGGGUUCUACACGCCCCUUCCUCCAACUACAGCCAUAUCUCUCCACACUGAUGGAGGGGUUCUACACGCCCCUUCCUCCAACCACCUCCAUAUCUCUCCACACUGAUGGAGGGGUUCUACACGCCCCUUCCUCCAACCACCUCCAUAUCUCUCCACACUGAUGGAGCCCCUUCCUCCAACUACAGCCAUAUCUCUCCACACUGAUGGAGCCCCUUCCUCCAACUACAGCCAUAUCUCUCCACACUGAUGGAGCCCCUUCCUCCAACUACAGCCAUAUCUCUCCACACUGAUGGCAAAUAUGCACUUCAUGAACAGGGUGUGUUUUAAUUAUUUUGGCGGCUGAAUGUAUUAUAUCAAAGUUCAAAUGUAUUCUUGUUUAUUGUUG